rnacentral:lncRNA from 1 species
UUACCAUUAUCUCAUCUGUAACUGAAACCAUAUUCAUUUGUCUUCCCAGGACAGGCCACUGAAGGAAGAAAAAGUAAAACAUUUUAUUUGUGAGUAAUACCAAGCUUGUUCAGUGUCUGCCAAGAUUUCACCAAGAAAGGAAUUACCAACAGUCAUCACAGUUAAAGAUGGACAAAGGCUGGAUUUGUCUGUGGUUUCGAGAUCUUCCAGAGAAAUGCGGCUAAGAACCAUUAAGUUCUACUUCAGUAUGAGGAGAAAUUGAUUGGGAUGAAAUCAGGUCAGUGUUUUAUUACCAGUCAAGGGAGAAUUUCAUGUCCUCACAUGUUAAGCUUCAAUAAUGUAUAGGAUACCUUAAUCAGUAAAUAACAU